GGGUGAGUAACACGUUGAUAUCUACCUUUAGGUCAGGGAUACCAUAGAGAAAUUUAUGUUAAUACCGGAUAGUCUCUUCGGAGUAAAGAUUUAUCACCUAAAGAGGAGUCUGCGUACUAUCAGUUAGUUGGUGAGGUAAAAGCUCACCAAGACAAUGACAGUUAAUUGGUCUGAGAGGAUGACCAGUCACAAUGGAACUGAGACACGGUCCAUACUCCUACGGGAGGCAGCAGUGAGGAAUCUUCCACAAUGGACGCAAGUCUGAUGGAGCGACACCGCGUGAAGGAUGACGGCCUAACGGUUGUAAACUUCUUUUCUGAAGGAGCAAAAUGAGAGUACUUCAGGAAUAAGGGAUGGCUAAUCACGUGCCAGCAGCCGCGGUAAUACGUGAAUCUCGAGCAUUACCCGGAAUCACUGGGUGUAAAGCGUUUGUAGGUGGUUUGGUAAGUUGGAUAUGAAAGACCGGAGCUCAACUCCGUGUAUGUGUUCAAAACUGUCAAACUAGAAUUAGGGAGAGGUAAGCGGAAUUUUAAGUGUAGGGGUGCGAUCCGUAGAUACUUAAAA
rnacentral:rRNA from 1 species